rnacentral:rRNA from 1 species
UACGAAGGGGGCUAGCGUUGCUCGGAAUUACUGGGCGUAAAGGGCGCGUAGGCGGCACUGUUAGUCAGGCGUGAAAGUCCUGGGCUCAACCUGGGAACUGCGCUUGAUACGGCAGAGCUAGAGGAUGGAAGAGGCUAGCGGAAUUCCCAGUGUAGAGGUGAAAUUCGUAGAUAUUGGGAAGAACACCGGUGGCGAAGGCGGCGAGCUGGUCCAUUACUGACGCUGAGGCGCGACAGCGUGGGGAGCAAACAGG